CUCUGCAGGAAUAUAACGGUUUAACGUAUAGUCUACUUUCCGUUAGGCUAGGUGAGAAUCUGCUCGUUUUUUCACUGCAGAGCAAUUUUAUUACAAUUCCGGUAUUUUGAACAUUGAGGCUCGAGCCCCAUUUCUGGUUGGUCUCAGUUGACACCGAAGUUUUCAGAAAUGUGCAACUCACCGAGUGGUUAGUGGUGUUCGUUCGUUGUUCCAAAUCAAGUAUCGUAGCGAAAUACAGUUUCUACCGGGCAAUGAUUCUUCCAACAGGAAUCAAUGGGAUUUAUAAAAUGCGAUACAUGUGCAAUAAAACAUGACAGAAACUGUAUUUCGCUACGAUACUUCAUUUGGAACAUCAACGUACACAACAACUCGGUGAGUUGCACAUUUCUGAAAACGAACGUUUAGGGUUGUUUUAAGGACAGGUUUGUGCAUGCACGUAGCCAGCCAUUGUGUUAGCCAAUAAAGGACCAAUAGUCAACAUUUUGUGUGUGUGUGUGUGUGUGUGUGUGUGUGUGUGUGUGUGUGUGUGUGUGUGUGUGUGUGUGUGUGUGUGACAAUAUGUGAUGCUCACCUAGUCCUCUUAUUUUGAGUAAUGAAAUGCAGCCCUUUUUUCAGGAAUGUAUGGACAAACUGAACCUCAGGAACUUGGUGUCUAUUUCAAUGUGAAUUGGAAACUCUUCGACCUUUUCCAGAAAGAUCAAGCUGAGCAGUACGGAGGUCUUCAGCUCGUUUGUGUGGGGAGCUGUGGCCUACACACGCUACACAACUCCUUCAAGUGUGGGUUCACUGUAUGGCAGCUGGACAAAUUGCUGAGAGCAAUGCACACAUUGUUUCACAAUACGCCUGCCAGGAGAGAGGAUUACAUCACCGUAACCAAGUCCAGUGUGUUCCCUCUAUCUUUCUGUGCCCAUCGUUGGGUAGAAAACCUUCCGGUUGUGGAGAGAGCCCUGGCAGUCUGGCCAUCAUUUCUCCUGUACAUGGAAGCUGUGAAAACAAAGAGACUCCCGAACCCUGGAACAG
ensembl:lncRNA